GGAUUAGCCUAGUGGCAAGGCUUUGGAUUGCCAAUCCGGAGACCGCGGGUUCAAUUCCUGUUCCA
rnacentral:tRNA from 1 species